rnacentral:rRNA from 1 species
CCUACGGGGGGCAGCAGUGAGGAAUAUUGGUCAAUGGGCGCGAGCCUGAACCAGCCAAGUAGCGUGAAGGAUGACUGCCCUACGGGUUGUAAACUUCUUUUAUAAAGGAAUAAAGUGAGGCACGUGUGCCUUUUUGUAUGUACUUUAUGAAUAAGGCUCGGCUAACUCCGUGCCAUCAGCCGCGGGAAUACGGAGGAUUCGAGCGUUAUCCGGAUUUAUUGGGUUUAAAGGGAGCGGAGAUGGGUUGGUAAGUCAGUUGUGAAAGUUUGCGACUCAACCGUAAAAUUGCAAUUGAUACUGGCAGUCUUGAGUACAGUUGAGGUAGGCGGAAUGCGUGGUGUAGCGGUGAAAUGCGUAGAUAUCAGGAGGAACAUCGGUGGCGUAAGCGCUUUACUGGGCCGUAAUUGACACUGAGGAACGAAAGCCGGGGUAGCAAAUGGGAUUAGAUACCCGUGUAGUC